rnacentral:lncRNA from 1 species
CAAUAGCGUACUUUCUAUACAUUUAACGCGCUAUGUAGUAAAUAAACUAUUCUUAUUAUGUUUUAAUUUUGGUAAAUAUGAGGCAAAAAGAAAUUCUCAUACUUGUGUAGUGUUGGCGUAAAUUUGAUUUCAUGAAAAACAAAUUAAUCAAAGAUACCAGACUUAUAAUUGUGUACUCAAUGCGGUUCGUAUACUCAAGAC